rnacentral:lncRNA from 1 species
UUUUAUUUUUUUUUUGAUUCUGUUAUUUUAUAUAUCCGACUAUGUUUUUUAAUGUAAAUAAUUAUCGACACUGGUCUAAUAUUCAUCAUUAGGCUUGGAAUAGUCGAUAGAAGGCCACUUAAAAAAAAUGCAGCUUCGACUAAAAAUAGGAAAUAAAUAUGGAAACUUUAAAGUUCUAUACUAUUGUGGAGUAUGGUUUGGAAAUUGCAUCGUCCUUGUGCAAUAGGCAGGGCCGGGUGAAUGGCUGCGUUAUGGCGUUGAUCCAGACAUUGCCGACUAAAAUUAUCAUUUUGAAUUUACAGGAAAAUAUUGAACACACACUUACAUAAAAUAUGGCGGUGGCAAUGCGAUUACCCAGUCCCUCGGGCAGACGUUCGGUGUCC